CACGAACGCUGGCGGCAGGCCUAACACAUGCAAGUCGAGCGAGGACUUCGGUUCUAGCGGCGGACGGGUGAGUAACGCGUGGGAAUAUGCCCUUCUCUACGGAAUAGCCUCGGGAAACUGAGCGUAAUACCGUAUACGCCCUUUGGGGGAAAGAUUUAUCGGAGAAGGAUUAGCCCGCGUUGGAUUAGGUAGUUGGUGGGGUAAUGGCCUACCAAGCCUACGAUCCAUAGCUGGUUUGAGAGGAUGAUCAGCCACACUGGGACUGAGACACGGCCCAGACUCCUACGGGAGGCAGCAGUGGGGAAUCUUAGACAAUGGGGGCAACCCUGAUCUAGCCAUGCCGCGUGAGUGAUGAAGGCCUUAGGGUUGUAAAGCUCUUUCAGCUGGGAAGAUAAUGACGGUACCAGCAGAAGAAGCCCCGGCUAACUCCGUGCCAGCCGCCGCGGUAACAC
rnacentral:rRNA from 1 species